UACGGGGGGAGCAAGCGUUGUUCGGAUUUACUGGGCGUAAAGGGCGCGUAGGCGGUCAGCACAAGUCAGUUGUGAAAUCUCUGGGCUUAACUCGGAACGGUCAACUGAUACUGUGCGACUAGAGUGCAGAAGGGGCAACUGGAAUUCUCGGUGUAGCGGUGAAAUGCGUAGAUAUCGAGAGGAACACCUGCGGCGAAGGCGGGUUGCUGGGCUGACACUGACGCUGAGGCGCGAAAGCCAGGGGAGCGAACGGG
rnacentral:rRNA from 1 species